UCCUAAUGGCAGACGAAGGGAGUAUCAUUUUUCUAAAAUAAGUGUAGAAAAUGAAAUGACUAUAUUACUGUGGAAUGGAGGAAGUAUUAUUCUGUGGCCUACUCCAAUUUAUAUUAGUACUGUAAACUUAGAGUAGAUUGUCACCUAGGUUAAGAUUCAUGCACAAACAUGGGUACGGUAACACUGAAUAUUUGGCAUCUUUUUUAACUUAUUCUAGGGGAAGUUGAAAUGAACAAUUAUUAAACUAUUUUAUUUUAAACCCAAAGUAAUUAAUUACGGAAUUGGGCAUCCUUGAUAUAUUUACUGCAGCCCCAAUUAUUUGAAGUUAGGCUCAAAUUAUUUACUCCCCUUCUUAGCCCAAUCAUCAAUUAAAUUAAAAUACCACACAUAUAUUCUUCCCCUCCAUCGUCAAUCCCUACUCAUCUUCUUUUAUCCCAAAUUUCAUUUGCCCCAACAAAAUAGAAAACAGAAAAUCAGUGCCUCCUUCUCCCUCUACCUCUCGCACUCUCUCUCUCUGUCUCUCUCGGUAGCGCCGCCGUCCGCUGCUCCCUCCGCCUGCUUUUCUCUCUCCCCCUCCGUCUCUCACACUCUCACCCGAAAUUUGCUCCCAAGUUCAGACACCCAAAAUCGAGGACCUCCGCCGUCGAUUCGCGCUUUUUCUCCGCCACUCGGCAGCAAUCGGCCAUCUCGGCUUCAAAGCUAAGUCUUAAACUCUCGUUUCUAUUCUUAAAUUUCAGUUAUUGAAAUCGAGUCAUUCGAAUUAUUGGUUAUCGGUUUAGUUUCAUGCCAUCGUUGGAUUUGUUGCUUGAAUUACAGUUUAUGCGACAAUUCUAAGUGAACACCCCGACGGAGAAGAUAUAUUAAAACUGAAAGGACUGUACCUUUCUUGAGGGAGGAGUUGUUCGAAGACUUGGAGGAUUUUUUAGUGCUGAUGAUGUGGCAGGAAGAGUUUGUGUACUUAUGAUGUGGCAGGAGGAUUUUUUAGUGCUGAUGAUGUGGCAGGAAGAGUUUGUGGCUGGGCUAUUGCGGGGCGAAAGCCAUUGUGGAUGCUCUUAUGCCAAAACUAAACAUAUAUUAUGAUUCCUCUUCAUCGACUCUUUUAACCGGUGAAAAGAAAUGAAAUGAAGAUUAAAUAAAAAUUUUCGUCUACCCAUUCGACGUCCUUUCGAGUUCAAUUAAAAAGAAAGGAAAAGUCGGGAUGUUACAAUUAUGUUGAUAUUUUCAUAAUACUAUAUUGACAUUUUCAUUUAAAAUCUUAA